rnacentral:lncRNA from 1 species
CUUUUCGAGGUAGGAGUCGACUCCUGUGAGGUAUGGUGCUGGGUGCAGAUGCAGUGUGGCUCUGGAUAGCACCUUAUGGACAGUUGUGUCCCCAAGGAAGGAUGAGAAUAGCUACUGAAGUCCUAAAGAGCAAGCCUAACUCAAGCCAUUGGCACACAGGCAUUAGACAGAAAGCUGGAAGUUGAAAUGGUGGAGUCCAACUUGCCUGGACCAGCUUAAUGGUUCUGGACUCAGAAUUCAUGAUUGAAGAAAUGCAGGCAGACCUGUUAUCCUAAACUAGGGUUUUUAAUGACCACAACAAGCAAGCAUGCAGCUUACUGCUUGAAAGGGUCUUGCCUCACCCAAGCUAGAGUGCAGUGGCCUUUGAAGCUUACUACAGCCUCAAACUUCUGGGCUCAAGUGAUCCUCAGCCUCCCAGUGGUCUUUGUAGACUGCCUGAUGGAGUCUCAUGGCACAAGAAGAUUAAAACAGUGUCUCCAAUUUUAAUAAAUUUUUGCAAUCCA